rnacentral:tRNA from 1 species
ACUAUUUUGACAGAAAAAUGUGGUGAUUUUAGAAGUCAUUAAUAUAUAAUUAGUUUAUAUAUGUAGUA